rnacentral:rRNA from 1 species
CAGUCGCCGCGGUAAUACGUAGGUGGCAAGCGUUGUCCGGAAUUAUUGGGCGUAAAGGGCUCGCAGGCGGUUUCUUAAGUCUGAUGUGAAAGCCCCGGCUCAACCGGGGAGGGUCAUUGGAAACUGGGAAACUUGAGUGCAGAAGAGGAGAGUGGAAUUCCACGUGUAGCGGUGAAAUGCGUAGAGAUGUGGAGGAACACCAGUGGCGAAGGCGACUCUCUGGUCUGUAACUGACGCUGAGGAGCGAAAGCGUGGGGAGCGAACAGGAUUAGAUACCCCUGUAGUCCCUGUCUCUUAUACA